UCCUACGGGAGGCAGCAGUGGGGGAUAUUGCACAAUGGGGGAAACCCUGAUGCAGCAACGCCGCGUGAGGGAAGAAGGUUUUCGGAUUGUAAACCUCUGUUCUUAGUGACGAUAAUGACGGUAGCUAAGGAGAAAGCUCCGGCUAACUACGUGCCAGCAGCCGCGGUAAUACGUAGGGAGCGAGCGUUGUCCGGAUUUACUGGGUGUAAAGGGUGCGUAGGCGGCGAGGCAAGUCAGGCGUGAAAUCUAUGGGCUUAACCCAUAAACUGCGCUUGAAACUGUCUUGCUUGAGUGAAGUAGAGGUAGGCGGAAUUCCCGGUGUAGCGGUGAAAUGCGUAGAGAUCGGGAGGAACACCAGUGGCGAAGGCGGCCUACUGGGCUUUAACUGACGCUGAAGCACGAAAGCAUGGGUAGCAAACAGGAUUAGAUACCCUGGUAGUCC
rnacentral:rRNA from 1 species